CACAGUCCCAUUGCUAUCCCAAGGGCACAGGCAAGCCACUAGGACAGUAAGACAGGUGAACACACUAACCUCAAUGUGAAGGAGAUAACGUAAGGGGGCGGGGCUUGAACAUUUUCUAACCAUUCAAUAUAAUUUGGACAGCCAAUAGUAGCACAGCACUUGGCAGUUCGAAGCAUAGACGGAGGGCGGAGCAUGUUUCUUUGGAGAGCUCACUGGUCUCUUUGGCUUUAAGUAGAAUAGGGGCAGCCAGUGCUC